CGGAAACGAAUCCGGCAAAUUCACACACGUGUCGGCACGUUGUCCCAGGGUGCCUUCUUCUGUUUAUACAGGAGCUGGUUGGGUCAAUCGGACGCGUGGAGGCCUAACC
rnacentral:sRNA from 1 species